rnacentral:tRNA from 1 species
GCUUUUAUAGCUUAAUGGUAAAGCCCCUUACUGUUAAUAAGGUAUAUAUGGGUUCGAUUCCCUUUAAAGGCU